rnacentral:lncRNA from 1 species
AAAUAAAAAAAGUGCUAAUGAGACAGAAAAGGGCACUGAAAGAUCCGGUCACCCAGGGACCUCUCAAUUGCUCAGAUUUGGAGAAGGUGGGGAGAGAAGAUUGCGUCAAACAGACCUGAGAUCCGAUCCCAGCUCAGUCAUUUCCAGCUGUGUGACCUUGGGUGAGUCACUCGCUUUUUCUGAAUCUCGGUUUUCUCAAUGAUGAUGUGACAGCAAUGUUCAUGAGGUGCUGCCAAAAUUACAAUAGAUCAUGUAAACUAUGUGCAAUGUACUUCGUUGCCUUGCAGCAAUGGAUGGCGCCUCUCCUUCCAUCCUCUACAGAAGGAGGAAGAGAUGUUUAAAGUGGAAAUAAGAGAAUUGGAGUUCUGAAAAUGUGAGAAUCAAAUCUACAGCCCCAUUUGUUCAGUGACUUCCUAUCUCCACCCCGUGAAGUUCACCAGAGGCACCGAGGGAACUUGCCCAGAUGGUUGUGGUGGCAUUGUCCCUGGUGUGUGAGGAAUUUUGGAGAAUACAAGAGGUGUAAAACUACUGUA